rnacentral:misc_RNA from 1 species
GAACGCACAUUGCGCCCUGUGGUAUUCCGCAGGGCAUGCCUGUUCGAGCGUCAUUACAACCACUCAAGCCUGGCUUGGUAUUGGGGUUUGCGGUUCCGCAGCCCCUAAAAUCAGUGGCGGUGCCGGUGUGGCUCUACGCGUAGUAAUUCUUCUCGCGAUGGAGUUCCCCUGGAUACCUGCCAGAACCCCCCCAUUUUUACAGGUUGACCUCGGAUCAGGUAGGGAUACCCGCUGAACUUAAG